rnacentral:lncRNA from 1 species
AUGCUGACUUUUAAUCCACAGAAGUGCAUCUGUUCCUUUCGAUCCCCCUCCUGUGGUACUCUUUUUACUAAGUUUUCUAUGAACAGUUGUGGCUGCAUCCUCCGACCACCACUGAUAGAGUUGCGCUGCCAUGCUUUUGAUGAUCAGAUGAAGAAUGGAUUGAAAUUGCUCCAAAAUGGGGAGUGAAGCUCAUCAGACAGCAUGCUUGUCUUGAAGAGGACCUGAGUUUGACUCCUAUAUUCACACCAGGAAGCUCACAACUGCUUGUAACUCCAGUUUCAGGGGCAUCUGAUGCCCCCGGUCUCUGUGAACACCUGACAUGCACAUACCCCCAUACAUACAUAUAAUUAAAAAUUAAAGAAAUCUUUAUAAAAGAAAUAUUCCCAAAAUGAUGAUGCAAAGUCAGUCUUUUAAGUUGUCCCUGUCAGGAAUUUUGGCCACAGUGAUACAGAAGUAACAGAUACAGGACCGUUCAUGCAAGGUACAGUAGGGGUAGCUACGAGGUCAAGAAAGACAGCUUCCUUGAAUUUCCAGGCCAGAGUAGGUGGCCAUCUAGGGCUCUCCUUAUGUGACUAUAUGAGUGUCACAAUUGGGUCUGAUACUUGCUGCUAGCUUCCUACCUGGCAGUGUGAUUGUUGAAGAGAUCCAUUGCCCUCAUCUCUUCUUAAGAUGAUACCCAUCCCUUAAAUAUAUCCUAAAAUCAGUCACCAGUUUGCUUAGGUUGAGUUGCAGCAAUACCCAAUUUGAAGCAAAUAAAAUGGAAAACUGGAAAUGAAAAUGAAGUAUUUAUCCUAAGUUGGAGAUGUUUUCUUGAUUGUAGAGGAGAGCUUACUGCCAUCCUUUGGCCCUUAGCAUGUUGUAACAUAUAACCCCUGCCCACAAAGAACUGGGGAAAAUCAUUCCAAUGAAGCUGGGUACACCAUACCUUGCAACUAGGAUUCACUUGCUAUCAAACACUGCAUGUCCAAUAGUAAAAUUUACUCAAUAAAAAUUUUAAGUUAUAUAUAGAUGAAAGUUAAAGGUGGAAUGUUUUAGCACAUUUUUCUUUAAUUGCCUUUACCCUGGGAAACAUAAAAUGUUGGAUAUAUCUAAGCACAAUACAAAAACAUUGGAUGCUAAGCAUGUGUCUGCCAGGAAAAACAAUCUUGAUAGUUUAUGAUGCAAAGGAUCCUAGACUUGUCUACCUGGGAAAUCAUGGAUUUUUUUGACAAACAAUUAAGUGGGAAAAAAGAAACAUUUUAGUUUGAGUAAGAGCUAACAUUUCCUUUAAUUCCUUAAGCUGUAAUAGUGGAGAGGCACCUUAAAAUGCCCUUCCUCUAUAAUAAGAUUGAUGACUACCUUAAAUUCCAUCCUAGAGCCUUCAUCCAGUAGCUGAUGGAAGCAGAAGUAGAGAGUCAUAGCUAAACACGGAGAUGAACUCCUGGAAUCCAGUUGUAGAGAGGGAGGAGUGAUGAGCAAAGGGGUCAAAACCAUGUUGGGGAAACCCACAGAAACACUGACCUGAGCAAGUGGGAGUGCAUGGACCCCAGUCUGACAGUUGGGGAACCAACAUAGGUCCAAACCAGGCCCCCUGAAUGUGGGUGUCAGUUGGGAGACCAAGGCAGUCUAUGGGACCUCUGGCAGUGGAACCAGUGUUUAUCACUAGUGCAUGAACAGGCUUUGAGAGACCAUUCCCUAUUGAGGGAUACUCUCUCAGCCUAGAUACAUGGGGGAGUACCUAGCCCCUGCCCCACGUGAUGUGACAGCCCUUGAUGACCCCCCAUGGGAGGCCUCACCCUCCCUGGAGGGUGGAUGGGGGGUUGGUGUGGGACAUGGGAGGAUGGGAGGGAGAGGGAACUGGGAUCAGUAUGUAAAAUAAGAUUGUUUUAAUUAAAAUAAAAAGAAAAUAAACAAAUUAAGAAAUUUACCAGAUAAAAAAUUCCUUAAGCUGUGACUAUAAUUUAUUAGCAGAAAAUUUGGGGCUAUAAAUUCAUGAUAUAAUUAUAAAACUAGAAGAUAGAUUUUUCACAUACUGCUCAUGAGUACAUCUUAUAUAUUACUGCCAUAAUCAAAUAUUAC